UAAGAAGAAACACCUUCGGAAGACUGGCACAAAGCCGAAGCUAUCAAUCAAAGAGCUUCGGAGUACAUUUCCAAAUGCACCGACUUAAAGAUGAAAUGACCAAUCGGCCCGUGAUAACUUGUAUUAUGAUUGUAAACCUUUGUAAAGGACAUGAAUAUAAUUUCUCACAGGCUGUGUCCUGUGCCUAUAAAUAGAUAAACAGUACCCCUGUACUGUUCACGCUCUCCUGUAUUCGCUCGGGCAUCACACUUGGAUUUUUGCCUUCUGCCAAGCCGAAGGUAUAAAUGUAAUUAAUGUCAUAUCUAAAUAUCCAAGUUUAUAUAAUGAUGACAUGUAAAUGAUAUUAUAUGUUUAUUCAUGUUAUCUUUCAUGUUUUAUAUACUUUGUCUUUUAUUACCAUAUACCGUGAUGAUGAAGGUACGUCCUUCAUGACCUUCAUUCGAAGAUCGUUAUAUCCUAAGGGAAAUAAUGCUUCGAAGGACGAAGGAUAUUAACAUUUAAUACUUUGUGUUGCCUUGUUCUUGACUCAUAGCAUUUGAGAACAUGUCCCCAACAUUGGCGCCCACCUCCGGUGAACUCACUUCCACUGUCGAGAUGAUGGCUUCGUUCAACAAUGAAGCUGAAGUAGCUUCGGCUACGAAGAUGGUGCUCCCGAUAACAGGCGGUUCAUGUUCAGACCGGCCAACAAGAAGCAGAAGAAGGAGGCCCAGAGAAGGGUGCAGCAUGUUGGGGUGCAGGGACCCUUCAUCAAGUCAAAAUGGUCCCACAUCCCAAUCACCUUCUCCCAGGAGGACCUUCAGCUCAAGGAUUACCCUCACAAUGAUGCUAUGGUUAUAUCUUGUGUCAUCAAGGGAUUUCUGGUCCAUAAUGUUCUGGUUGAUACAGGCAGUGCAGCGGAUAUCAUAUUUGCUAAGGCCUUCAGACAGAUGCAAGAGCCAGAGGACAAGAUUCAUGAUGCUACACACCCUCUUUGUGGCUUCGGAGGAAGGCAGAUCGUAGCACUUGGCAAGAUCACAAUGCUAGUGAUCUUUGGAUUUGUCCACAACACAAGGACUGAACAGGUUGUGUUUGAUAUUGUUGACAUGGAAUACCCCUACAAUGCAAUCAUUGGUCGUGGGACACUUAAUGCUUUCAAAGCAAUUCUUCAUCCAGCAUACCUAUGCAUGAAGAUACCUUCGGAACAAGGGCCUAUUGCAAUUCAUGGAAGUCAGGAAGCUGCCAGAAAGGCUUAGGGAAAUUGGGCAGACUCAAAAGCCAUCCACAAUAUAGAUGGAGCUGAAGCUUGUGAGCAGUACAAGUACAGAAGAGAGAAGGCUGCUUCGGCUGAUCAGCCGAAGCCCAUGCUUCUAUGUGAAGACAUAGCAGAGCAAAAGGUAUUGUUGGGGUCUCAAUUAUCUGAAGAGCAAGAAAAAACUUUGAUAAGGUUUUUAUUCAACAACAAAGAUGUUUUUGCAUGGUCGGCCAAUGAUCUCUGUGGUGUCAACAGGGACGUCAUUGAACAUUCACUCAAUGUCGAUCCAGCCUUCAGGCCCAGAAAGCAAAGGCUUCGGAAAAUGUCUGAUGAUAAAGCCGAAGGUGCUCGGAAUGAAGUAAAAAGACUUCUCAGUGCUGGUGCCAUCAGAGAAGUAAAAUAUCCAGAGUGGCUAGCUAAUAUUGUUAUGGUGAAGAAGGCCAAUGGCAAAUGGAGAAUGUGUAUUGAUUUCACAGAUCUCAACAAGGCCUGUCCGAAGGAUGAAUUUCCAUUACCAAGGAUAGACUCUCUUGUGGAUGCAGUAGCUUCUUCAGAACUUAUGAGUCUUCUGGAUUGCUACUCAGGAUAUCAUCAAAUAUGGAUGAAGAAGGAGGAUGAGCCGAAGACUAGCUUCAUAACUCCUAGUGGCACCUAUUGCUAUCUUCGGAUGCCUGAGGGGCUCAAAAAUGCUGGAGGCAGUUUCAGCAGGAUGACGGCCAAGGUCCUUCAUUCCGAGAUAGGCAGAAAUGUCCUAACUUACGUUGAUGAUAUCAUAGUAAAAAGAACGAAGCAAGAAAAUCAUAUCACUGAUCUGUAAGAAACAUUUGCUAAUUUCAGACAAGCUGGUCUGAAAUUAAAUCCUGAAAAGUGUGUCUUUGGAGUGAAGAAGGGUAAGUUCCUUGGCUGUCUGGUUUCAACGAAGGGGAUUGAAGCUAACCCAAGCAAGAUUGAAGCCAUCCUUCGAAUGGAACCGUCGAGCACAAAGAAGGGGGCCCAACGGUUGGCAGGAAGACUGGCUUCAUUGAAUAGAUUUACAUCUAGAUCAGCAGAAAGAAACUUGCCAUUCUUUGAAAUACUAAAGUCAGCCGAAGUCUUUCAAUGGGGCCCAGCUCAACAGAAAGCCUUCGAAGAGCUGACGCAAUACUUGAUUGAUAUAACAACAUUAACUCCACCUGCGCCAUGAGCUCCGUUACUAUUGUAUGUGGCAGCUUCGCACUCUGCAGUAAGUGUGGCGCUUGUGCAGGAGAAAUUGGAAGGACAAAUCAAAAAGCAAGCCCCAGUAUACUUUGUCUCCGAAGUUCUAAGCUUAACAAAGAAAAAUUAUACAGAAUUGGAGAAGGUGUUGUAUGCUGUCUUAAUGGCCUCUAGGAAGCUUCGGCAUUAUUUUCAAGCAUUCCAUAUAAUUGUUCCUUCAUCACAACCUCUGAAGGAUAUCAUGAGGAACAGAGAAGCUACUGGAAGGAUUGGAAAGUGGGCUGCGGAACUCAACGAAUUCAGCAUUGAUUAUGUGCAUAGAUCCUCAAUUCAGUCCCAGGCGUUAGCAGACUUCAUCGCUGACUGGACGUCAGGGGCUCAGGAAGAAGAAGCAAAUAAAGAUGUCGAAGCUUGGACAGUGUUCUGCGACGGUUCCUGGGGAACCUUUGGGGCAGGUGCGGCUGCUGUUUUAGUUGCACCUUCCAAAGUCAGAACAUGCUAUGUAAUAAGGCUUGAUUUCAGCUGUACAAAUAAUAUUGCUGAAUACGAAGCUUUACUUUUGGGGCUUCGGAAGUUAAAGCAAUGGGGAUAAGAAGGGCGAUCCUUAAAACCGACUCCCAAGUUAUUUCUGGUCAUAUUGACAAGAGUUGUAAGGCAAGAGAUCCAAAGCUUGAGAAAUACCUGGACACAGUUCGAAGGCUUGAAGCUUCAUUCGAAGGGUUUUCUGUUAAGAAUAUUCCAUGAGGAGAAAAUGAGCACGCUGAUCUGUUAGCCAAGUCAGCAGCACAGGGGCUGCCUCUACCUUCGGAAGUAUUUUUUGAAACAAUAAGAGCACCUUCGGUGGAACUUCUCGAAAGAGCAGUGCUCAUUAUAUCUCCUGUUCAUAGUGAAGAUUGGAGGACUGAGAUUAUAUCUUUCCUCCAAGGUAAUUGCCUUUCAGAUGACGAAGCUUAUAAUAAGAGAAUAGAGGCAAGAACAAGACCAUAUGUAAUAAUAGAAGGAGAGUUAUACAAACAUGGAGUCUGCUCUCCACUUCUCAAGUGUCUAUCCAGAACCAAAGGUAUAGAGCUGAUGAAGGAAAUACAUGCAGGCUUGUGUGGGUCUCACAUUGGAUCUAGACCUUUGCUGGGGAAGGUCUUCAGACAAGGAUUUUAUUGGCCGAAGGCGGCUUCGGAUGCAACGGAUCUGGUUCAAAAGUGCGAAAAUUGUCAAAAAUGUGCAAGAGACCAGAAACAACCUUCAUCGCUAACCUAGCUAAUACAACCAACCUGGCCAUUGCAAAGAUGGGGCCUGGAUUUGUUAGGUCCACUUCCACCAGCACAAGGCAAUUUAAGAUAUGUUGUGGUGGCUGUAGAAUAUUUUUCUAAAUGGAUUGAAGCGAAACCUUUGGCCACAAUAACUUCGGUCACAGUCUAGAAAUUCUUUUGGCAAAACAUUGUUUGUCGCUUCGGCGUACCAAAGGCUAUAACUGUGGACAACGGGACACAGUUUAAUGCCGAAGCUUUCAAGGAAUUAUGUGAUCAAAUCAGCACGAAGAUUCAUUUUGCGUCAGUCAGAUAUCCAGAGUCAAAUGGACUUGUCGAAAGAGCAAAUGAUAUUAUAAUGAUAGGAAUAAUGAAGUUAAUUUUUAAUCAACCUAGAGGAAAGUGGCCAGAAGAGUUGAUUAAAGUGGUGUGGACCCACAAUACAACUGUAUCAAGAUCAACAAGUUUUACGCCAUUCAAGUUAUUAUUUGGUGACGAAGCUAUAACCCCAGAAGAAGCUAAAACGGGGUCAAUAAGAACAACAGCUUCGACUGAAGACGAAGCUGAUUAUCAUGUGGCAAAAGACACUAUAGAAGGGGUCAGACUUCAGGCUGUGGAAAAUAUAAAUAAAUAUCAAGCCGAAACAAUAAAAUGGCGCGACAGAAAAGUCCGACUGAAAAAUAUCAAGCCAGGGCAUUUUGUGCUUCGGAGAGUGGCUAAUCCGGACAUAGUAGGCAAACUACAGCUGAAGUGGGAAGGACCUUUUCUGGUAGUAUCUUCGUCAAGGCCUGGUUCUUACAGAUUAAAGGAUAUGGAUGGCAAUGACAUUCCUAGAUCUUGGAACGCGGAUGAGCUUCGACGGUAUUAUGUAUAGAUUGAUGUAAUCUUUUUUAUUUUUUCUAUGGCACACUUUUCCUUUCCAAAGGGGGAGAAAGGUUUUUAAUGAGGCCACAGUUUGUAAUUUUUCCUUUCUUAUUUAGCUCCAUGAGAGCAAAAUCCCCCAAAAUAUGUAAAUGUAAAAUCUGAGCAUGCACCAUCGAGUGCAAAGAAAAAGAGAAAACUGGGAGAAGCUCGAAAGUCGUCCCUAAGGGGAUGCAGAGCAUGACGAAGCUACAAAAAGCCGUUCCUAAGGGAGCGCAGUGUAAGUUUUCUGCUCAAAAGUCGUUCCUAAGGGAAUGCAGAGCCAAAUACCGCCGAAAUAUAAGGCAAAGCACGAAAAGUCAAUGCGAAUACCGCCGAAAUAGAAGGCAAAGAAGUUCAAAAGACGUCCUAAGGGGAUGCAGAACUUACACCGAAAAAUAAGCGGUGCAGCAGAAAAAUAAACGGCAAAGAGAUUUCAGUCAUUCCCAAGGGAAUGAAGGUUAUGGAUGAAGCUUCGUAUGUGUGUGUGUUUGGGCAUUCAUUUGCACGAUACAUUACAUCAUACAGUGCAUUCAUAAACAUUCAUUUAGACAUACAUAGGAUCAUCAUCAUACCAUACAGAUACAGACAGUUGCUUUGGCUCUAAGCAUACAGCUUCAAAAGCAGAUUCAUGCUUCGUUGCGUACGAAAAGAAGGGAAGGUGUUUUUCGCCUUCAGCUCAAAAAAUACAAGUUUCGUCCACAUCAAAGCAUUCCAUACAUCGAUGGAAAGGUAACAACAUAUUACAAGGUAUGAACAAAUUUACAUAGUAGAAUCUGAUUCUUAAGUUACAAUAUUCUUUAUAAAGGUUAAUACAAGAGCUUUCUUAGAAUUUUUUCCACAACUAGGUAUUUGAGCUUCAUCACCAUCUGUUGAGCUUCGGUUGUUUGCUAAGCUUCGGUUCUGUAUUCUUCGGCUUUGUCAUCCUGUACAUAUCAAAACAUUAUAAGGAAAAUUCAAAUUUUGAGGAAAAGAUAAGCACAAGGUAUGAUUUUAUUUAUCGGCUUGAGGUGACUUUGAGCUUCGUCACCAGCUAGGCUUCGCCCACCCUUCGUCCAGAUUUGCUUUAUAAAUUUGUUUCCUAUGCUUCGAGCAAGGCUGGGGAUAUCAGUCAAAUCUGCUGGUGAUAAGAUGAAGUUUGGUCUAUUAACAAUUUUCCCAUGCGUGCAACCAGACUUCAUGAAGGCAACAGCUGUGCCCCGAGAAGCUACCAGGGCACAGAAAUCACCGUGUCCGUCUAUAACUUCAUCAAGAGCAUCAACUUCGCCAUCAAUGUGUUCGAAGGUCCCUGGCAGGUCUUCAACCGAAGGACUGAAUUUCUCAGAGCUAGCUCCAACCGAGUUGAAGACCUGCUUUAGCCGCUGCAUGCAUCGGUUGCUGAACUCUAGACAUUUAUCUUGAAGCUAUUUUAAUGAUUUUUUGCAAAUUUGAACUUUUUUCGACCUCAGCUUCAAACUUCGUAUCAAAUCUCUGCUUUUCUUGUUUGAAGCUUUCUGAUUUUGAGAGAAGCUCCUUAUCCAACUUUGCAAUCUUGGCUUCAGCUUCUGCCAGUAAACCUUCCAUUGUUUGAAGUUCGAAAUCUUUCUUUUCAAGAGCAGCUGCUUGAUCUUUUAUUUUGCUUUCUAAACCUUCAAUUAUAACUUCAUGCUUUUUAUCUUCAAGGUCCUGUUGCAUCCUCAAAGCUUUACUCAAUAACAUACUCUGUACAAGAGCAACCUUCGUUAGAAAACAUCUUCGUUGUUAAAAAUAAUGAAAAGUUGAAAAGUUUUUACCUUGAAGUUAGAAUAGAAUAAACUACCGACAAUAUGCUGUCGUCGGUAGCGGCUGAUAUCAGUCUCAAGCUUCGGGAAACCAAUACUCUUCGACAGAGUACCGACGACCUUCGCUCCAGUUCGAUCUCGGAGACAACCUAAGCUUUCAUCGUCAAUACCGUCGAAGAGUAGAGCCCCUGGCUGAUACCCGCAGGAUAUGGCAUAGUCUCUCAAUUCUUCUUUCUCAGCCUUUGACAAUUCUUGUCCAAUUAAGUUUUGAAAGUUGAAUUUUUCUUCUUCUAAAGUAUCUUUGGCUAUUUCCUUCUCCUUCCCAGGCACUGUGGCCAUGGUUUCUUCGGCGGCUGUAGCAGCUUCUUCUGCGGCCAUGUCCAGAAGUAUUUUAUCAAUAUCAGAGAGUGUGCUUUCUAGAUUUGCAUCUUCGACAGUUGCAGCUUCAGCAGGUGCAGCUUCGGUAGCUGUAGCGCUCUCGAUAGCUGGUGCCUUUGACGCCGAAGCUGGCGAUGGGGUUUCUUAAAUAGCUUCUGUCACAGUAAUAAUCCUUCGUUUUUUCGGCCCAGCAGACUUCUUCGCUGCCGAGGGCUCCUUCUUCUUCUGUAAAAGCUUCGUCAGAUGUGGCCCCAGUGGACUUAGCUUGAUAGGCAAGGAUUCAGUCAUUACCUUUAGAAUUUCUUACACGUCGGCAGCAGAAGGUGUUGAAGGAGUCUCUUCUUUCGUAUCAGUCGCCUUCUGCUUCGGAGCCGUAGCUUUCCUUUUCUUCGGAGCAACUGCCUUCGGCUCAGGGCUCAAUUUUCUCUUCUUCAGGAUUUCUUCAUCUUCUUUCACCAUUCUAGCAGUCUGUCUGCCCACGACACUAACAAUUCUUUUUCUUUUUUGCCCUUCGGCGCCCUUGUUCAAACGCUCAUAGUCUGGAUAUUCAAAAUUCAGGGCAUCCAUUACCCGAUUCAAUCUUCGCUUCGGUCGGGCGCCAAAGGCUGCAGUCAUCAACUGAUCUUCUUUUCUCGUAUAAUUGCCCAAAAUCUCAUUGCACAUAACUUCAAUUGUAUCCAACCAUUCUUGGCAGGGUUCUUUGAAGUGUUUCUUGAACUUGAAAUGAUAGGGCAGUCGAACGAGUUCAUUCUUCUUCUUCUCUCUUUCAAGCUUCGGCAUACCCCAUUCCCUUAGCGUUGGGAAUACUCGGUUGGCCAAGUAUUCUUGAACUAAAUCUCUAGUUCCAUUAUGUUCAUAUACAACUCUAAACUUAUACACAGCAUCUGGGCAUGGUGCCCCCGGUGUCAUGUUGCACUGAGGCCUAGUCAGCCCGAAGGUUAGCUCCAGCGGGCUCUGAACUAGCUUCUCCUUUUUCUCAUCAAUCUUAACAUAAAACCAUUCAGACUUCCAACCGGUCGGCCAUUUAGAGCGAUAGCUGACCACCGGUGUCUUCAUGUCUUUAUGAUAAGCAAAAUUAUAGCAGCCGAAGUUCUCAUGCAGUCCGUCUUCCCUAGCCUUCGUCUGAUAAUGAAGUUCAUGUACUCGGCAGAAGGCUUCCGCGAGCAGCUCCACCCCUUGAAUUCGGAGAGCCCAGAUAUAUACGCUGAGCUUAACAAUGGCGUUAGGGGUCAGCUGAUGAAGGUAAAUCUCAAAAUUUUCCAAGACAUCUGCAACCAUCCCGUGCAGAGGAAAUCUCAACCCUGCUUUGAAGAGGCUCUUAAAAACCACCACUUCAUCAUUUUCUGGUUUCGGGAUAGUCUCUUCCCCGCCAAAACGAAUCAACCCCUUAUCGGCUUCUCUGAAGUAGCCUAACUUCGUCAUCAUAGCCAUAUCAGCUUCAGACACAGUUGACUUCCCAAAAUCCAAAUGGCUGGGCUUCGAUGGCAUAGCAGUGUUAUAAUCAAUCUCUUCUUCACCAGUAUCGCCCUCUUCAAUAUCUGCCUGGUCCGCUUUAGUAGCAGGGGCGUCUUUGUCAGGAGCGCCCUCCGUCAUAACUAGUCCCGACCGCCUCAUAACUUCGGAGAUCGGAGCAGUUUUAGUAGCUUCGGUUUCCUCUCCGUCGUAUGUAACCCUAGCUGUUGAGCGCACCCUGGACAUUUGAUGUUGAAUUUCUUGCAUUUUGACGAAGUUGAUUAUUUUUGACGAAGCUCUCUCUUGUCACGAAGCUAGAGCAAAGUGAUCCUUUGAUUGGGAAUACGAUGAACAAGCUUCGGCGGUGGUCAAAUUUUUUGGCAGCACAACAGUGCAAUAGCAGUAAAUGUUGUGGUAACUUCAUAACUACCCGUCUGUUUAUAUAGUGCUGCAGGUGGGAAGGUGAAUCGUCAAGUCGCUCGCACCCGCUGAACAGUCACCCACACUCGCUGAACGGUGGACCAUAGCGCCUAAGAAGAUGAAUCACCAGAUCGCACGUACCCGUUGUAUGGUGGGACUACCCUUCACUCGGAAUAUUUAAAUCGUUUCUCGGCAACGAGCUAAGGGAAGGUGUUUUUCGGACCUUCGGCAUUCCGAAGCCUGAGAGAGUUUUUCACGGGUCGAGCUCGUUACGAAAAACGAUCUGGCACCGUGAAGGGGCUACUGUUGGGGUCUGCUUCGUCGCCGAAGGUCCCAUAAGAAGAAACACCUUCGGAAGACUGGCACAAAGCCGAAGCUAUCAAUUAAAGAGCUUCAGAGUACAUUUCCAAAUGCACCGACUUAAAGAUGAAAUGACCAAUUGGCCUGUGAUAACUUGUAUUAUGAUUGUAAACCUUUGUAAAGGACAUGAAUGUAAUUUCUCACAUGCUGUGUCCUGUGCCUAUAAAUAGAUGAACAGUACCC
rnacentral:lncRNA from 1 species